AUUUGAUAUACACAUGUAAUUAAAAAUGAAAUAAAAAUCUAAAACAAUUAGCCUCAAAACACCUGAAUGUAUACAUGAUGACAAAGUGAAACUCACAAGCCCAACAGGAGAAGAAGAACAAACUUGGAAGCAAGUCCUGCAAGGAAUAUUGAAUUUGCUAUAAACCUACAAACAUGCAUGACCAAUGCAUUUUCUGUACUCUUCUUUUGUUCUUAAUUCUUUAUUUUUAUAAAAAAAAUAUUUUUCAAACUCUUUUUGUUCAUGUCAAUGUUUCUUCUAAUCGUGGAAGUUUUAACCUCUUCACGCUUAAGUAUAGUGCCUAAUAACAUAGCAUAAUCAUCGUAAUUGACAUUUUGGAUUAUUCUAAUUUCAUGAAUUGCGGCUUUGAUAAGUAAAAUUUCUUUUUUUUUUAAUAAAUUUAUUUUAUUAAAAAUCAGGAAUUGAUCCUUAUAAAACCCCUUUUACCAACCUAUGAGGCUAUGAUACAUAGUAUUCAUCAUCUGAAAUAACAUUAUUGAUAAAAAAAAGGAAGAACAGUCCAAAAAUAAGAUUAGCAUAAGAUAAAGAUGCCCUAACCAUAGAAUGAGCUACUUUAUUGACUAAUCUUCAAAACCAUUUUUAGUUUCGAGUUAAGUGAUUUUAUAUAAUUUUUUAGGUUUUAGUUGCUUUUAUAAUAAUUAUCUAUUAAUA
rnacentral:misc_RNA from 1 species